UGGGGAAUAUUGGACAAUGGGCGCAAGCCUGAUCCAGCCAUGCCGCGUGAGUGAUGAAGGCCCUAGGGUUGUAAAGCUCUUUCACCGGUGAAGAUAAUGACGGUAACCGGAGAAGAAGCCCCGGCUAACUUCGUGCCAGCAGCCGCGGUAAUACGAAGGGGGCUAGCGUUGUUCGGAUUUACUGGGCGUAAAGCGCACGUAGGCGGACUAUUAAGUCAGGGGUGAAAUCCCGGGGCUCAACCCCGGAACUGCCUUUGAUACUGGUAGUCUUGAGUUCGAGAGAGGUGGGUGGAAUGCCGAGUGUAGAGGUGAAAUUCGUAGAUAUUCGGAGGAGCACCAGUGGCGAAGGCGGCUCACUGGCUCGAUACUGACGCUGAGGUGCGAAAGCGUGGGGAGCAAACAGG
rnacentral:rRNA from 1 species